rnacentral:rRNA from 1 species
GAUCCUGGCUCAGGACGAACGCUGGCGGCACGCCUAACACAUGCAAGUCGAACGGAGAUAUUAGCUUCGGUUAAUAUCUUAGUGGCGGACGGGUGAGUAACACGUGAGCAACCUGCCUCUAAGAACGGGAUAGCUUCUGGAAACGGAUGGUAAUACCGUAUAAUGUAUUGGGAAGGCAUCUUUCUAAUACCAAAGAUUUAUCGCUUAGAGAUGGGCUCGCGUCUGAUUAGCUAGAUGGUG